rnacentral:rRNA from 1 species
UACGUAUGGUGCUAGCGUUAUCCGGAUUUACUGGGCGUAAAGGGAGCGCAGGCGGCGCGCCAAGUCUGAUGUGAAACCCCGGGGCUCAACCCCGGGCAUGCAUUGGAAACUGGCGGGCUGGAGUGCCGGAGAGGUAAGCGGAAUUCCUAGUGUAGCGGUGAAAUGCGUAGAUAUUAGGAGGAACACCAGUGGCGAAGGCGGCUUACUGGACGGCAACUGACGCUGAGGCUCGAAAGCGUGGGGAGCAAACAGG